GACGAACGCUGGCGGCGUGCUUAACACAUGCAAGUCGAACGGAAAGGCCCUGCUUUUGUGGGUUGCUCGAGUGGCGAACGGGUGAGUAACACGUGAGUAACCUGCCCUUUACUUUGGGAUAACUUCAGGAAACUGGGGCUAAUACCGGAUAGGAGCUCCUGCUGCAUGGUGGGGGUUGGAAAGUUUCGGCGGUUGGGGAUGGACUCGCGGCUUAUCAGCUUGUUGGUGGGGUAGUGGCUUACCAAGGCUUUGACGGGUAGCCGGCCUGAGAGGGUGACCGGCCACAUUGGGACUGAGAUACGGCCCAGACGCGUACGGGAGGCAGCAGUGGGGAAUAUUGCACAAUGGGCGGAAGCCUGAUGCAGCAACGCCGCGGGCGGGAUGACGGCCUUCGGGUUGUAAACCGCUUUCGCCUGUGACGAAGCGUGAGUGACGGUAAUGGGUAAAGAAGCACCGGCUAACUACGUG
rnacentral:rRNA from 1 species